rnacentral:lncRNA from 1 species
UUCAUUAGCCAGAAGUGAGUUAGAGACUCAAAAGGACCCAAUCAUCAAUCGAACUGAAAAUACAAGUACUGAGGCAGCGCAUCAGCAAGGACUGGGAUCCACCUGUAAUAACGUUGGCAAAGCAGUUGGCAACACCAUCACUUCAACACCUAUGGUCCCUUGCAACACCGUCACUUCAACAACUUUGAUCCCUUGCAACACUAUUACUUCAACACCUUUGGUCCCUUGCAACACCAUCACUUCAACGCCUUCGGUCCCUUGCAACACUGUCACAUCAACAACACCUUUGGUCCCUUGCAGUCUUGUUUCGGAAAAUGGGGAAAUUAAGCCGAAGGUCGAACAAUAGAUAGAGAAGGA